AUUUAGGCGGCGGGUGCUUACAAUGCAAGUCGAGCGGUAAGGCCCUUCGGGGUACACGAGCGGCGAACGGGUGAGUAACACGUGAGCAACCUGCCCCUGACUCUGGGAUAAGCGGUGGAAACGCCGUCUAAUACCGGAUACGACCCGCCACCUCAUGGUGGAGGGUGGAAAGUUUUUUCGGUCAGGGAUGGGCUCGCGGCCUAUCAGCUUGUUGGUGGGGUAACGGCCUACCAAGGCGAUUACGGGUAGCCGGCCUGAGAGGGCGACCGGCCACACUGGGACUGAGACACGGCCCAGACUCCUGCGGGAGGCAGCAGUGGGGAAUAUUGCGCAAUGGGCUAAAGCCUGACGCAGCGACGCCGCGUGGAGUAUGACGGUCUUCGGGUUGUAAACCUCUU
rnacentral:rRNA from 1 species